CCUACGGGUGACAGCAGUGAGGAAUAUUGGUCAAUGGGCGCGAGCCUGAACCAGCCAAGUCGCGUGAGGGAGGACGGCCCUACGGGUUGUAAACCUCGUUUGCCGGGGAGCAACGGGCGUCACGUGUGGCGCCACUGAGAGUACCCGGAGAAAAAGCAUCGGCUAACUCCGUGCCAGCAGCCGCGGUAAUACGGAGGAGGCGAGCGUUAUCCGGAUGUAUUGGGUUUAAGGGGUGCGUAGGCGGAUCGUUAAGUCAGUGGUCAAAGUGAGGGGCUAAACCCCUCCGCGCCAUGGAAACGGGGGCUUAUGAGUGGAAGAGAGGUAGGCGGAAUGCGUGGGGUAGCGGUGAAAUGCAUAG
rnacentral:rRNA from 1 species